AAAGAUUUAGUUAAAUUUAAAUAACAUUAGAAUGUCAAACUAAAAUUAUCUUUUAGAUAAUCUUUU
rnacentral:tRNA from 2 species